rnacentral:rRNA from 1 species
CCGAAUGGGGAAACCCACCCUUAGGGGUAUCCUAUACUGAAUACAUAGGUAUAGGAGGCGAACCUGGUGAACUGAAACAUCUAAGUAACCAGGGGAAAAGAAAUCAAAUGAGAUUCCCACAGUAGCGGCGAGCGACCUGGGAGCAGCCUGCAAGUGAUAUCAGCUUGGUUAGUGGAACGGUCUGGAAAGUCCGGCAAUAGAGGGUGAUAGCCCCGUACACGAAAACCUCGCUGUGGUACUAAGCUUGCGACAAGUAGGUCGGGACACGUGUUAUCUUGACUGAACAUGGGGGGACCAUCCUCCAAGGCUAAAUACUACUGAC